rnacentral:lncRNA from 1 species
GGAUAGUAUUACUCUUCAGAAAUACAGAGCUGUCAAUGCUGCAAUUUUGUUGUGAAAUUCACAAUCCAUGUCCAAAAGUGCUUGUUUUACUAUACAGCAAAGGAGAAAUUGUACUGGGCCGACACCUUCUGACAAGUGGAUAGGAGCAGAGACAUUAUUACCAAGUUUCAAGUUUAUUUUGAAGUCGAGGCCCUCAUGGGCAUCGGACAAACAAAACAAAACAAUGCAACAUACAACAACAUAGCAUAUGGAACAAGAUGUCAUUAUUGUGAACAGUGUACAAGGAGGAUGAGAACCAGUUUCAUUCCGUCACCUGAUACUGCCGGAGAAGUAUACCCCACCAACAAAGUUGUUAGAUCUGGGCUUUGAGAAAUCCCAAUGCAGUGAAAACUUUACAUUCUUCAGCCCACUACUAACACAAGCUACGAGUGACAGCAUUGGUAAGCCAGUGCAGAUGAAUAAUUUUCCUGUCAACUCUCGACAUUCAACCAAUUGUUAACUCAAAUUUAAAAAAAAAAAAAUGGAGAGAAGGGCUGGUGACGUUGUAGAAAAAGUUGCCCAAGAGUCUGCUGCAGCUGCAGCAAAGGAUGCUUUUAGCAAAGAGAUGGAGGAUGUGGCGCAAGUAGAAACUAUUCUUGUGUAGAUGACAGCAGUGACUGUAUCUCUUCAAAAUGAGGAAAAAAGGUCAACCCAGUCAUCAUCAACACUCUGUCAACAUAACUGCUGUCAGAACAAGGAAAAAACGGUUUCCAUGCCAAACUAGAACUGGAAUGUCAUGUGCAGUAGACACGGCUUGGCACAAAAGGGGAUUUGACAGUUUAACGUUUAAAGGCGGAUAUUUUCCUCAUAUCACACUGAUAGCUGCUGCAGAGCUGAACAGUGGACAUUCCUUCAAUACAUACGUUUACCUAAAACACUGAUCACCUCAACAGCCCAACAAGUUACUGGCAUUGUAAUGUCGGGACGUAAAUCUAUGUCAGUAAUUGGAAUGCCAGUGGAAGCGGAAUUUAUAACUCCAUCACUGGACAAAUUUUGUAAAUGGCUAGAACAAUUUGACAAUGCCAUUCUGAUGGCCUGCAGUGGCAGAAGGUUUGACUUUCCAGUUCUGAUGAAAGCAGUAGCUUGUUGUAAAAUUCUUUUUUUAAAUGUGUGUCUGGAUUUGUUGAUUCUCAAACAGUUUUAUGCAAACUUUUUCCUGGCAGUUUCUCAUAGAAGCAAGAUCUUGUACAGGAAAUUUUGAGGGAAAGUUAUGGAGCACAUUAUGCCACGGAGGAUGUUAAAGCAUUAGGAAAUCUUUUAAAAACGUGACAAUAUCGUCUAAAACAAUGCUUUCAUUUAAUUAUUCUCCAAAAUCUGUACAUCAGAUAUUCAGGCCACAACCUAAAUCAUUUGAAAAUAAUUGUCAAGCACAAGGGAGAAGAUGGGCUGAAGAACACGUACAUUGUUGAUAUAGUGAAGGACAACCAUGUGUUACAAACACAAAGAGGGCAUUAGAGAGAGUUAUUCCAAACCUUGUGGAGUACUUAAAAAUGAUUUUAUUAUAUCUCAUAGCUUAUGCCCCAUAUUUUAAUUUUAAAAGAGUAAGAAAUGUUCAAAAAUGAUGCGUCUUGAUCUGUAUGUCGAGUUUUAUGCUUUGAUUUGGUUAUCUUUUUAGAACUAUUAGAACAUAAUUAUUAUUACAUGUAUAUGAACAUUUUACUUUAUUAAAAGGAUUAUUACUAUAUUUAUUUUUUUGUACAAGUGUUACAUGCAUUUUUCAUUAAUAGAAGCAAAAUAAUGGGAGUUCUGUUUUAAAAUCCUUUGAAUUUAGGUUUUACAGUAUAAAGCUUUUGUUUACAUUUUACCCCUACUCUAAAACAAGGUAUUUUUAGAAAUUCAGAUGGUAAAAGUAGAUAUUCUUUAUGUAUUUGUUUCAUUCAAUGAUACAGAUAAUUUGUAUUUAGUCACUACACAUGUAACAUUUAUAACUUUAAAAAAAAUGUUUUUUUCCUGAAAAUUGCCAGCUUUACGACUGACUGUAUAGGAGAAAAAUAUUUCAAAUAAAUUCUUGUACAAAUGUAUGUCAUAAAUCUUUAUAUAUAUUUAUUCAACAUUGUUUUAGUAGUGAACUUACACUGAAACUGUUGUAUUUUGAUAAAUUUGAAAAAAAAAAAAUAUGUAGAAUUUCACGUAGUUUAUUUCAUUUUUUAGUCAAAUCUGCAUAUAAGGGGUUAUGCUCUUUAUGAUUUUAUAACUAUUUUUUUUUUUUUUAUUUACUUUUUUUUGAAUGGUUAAAAUCAUUUAAAAUUUUAGAAAUAAUUCAGCCAAGUGAUACAGAUAAUAAAAAUAAAAAGCUUGGUUAGAUUUGAAAUGUGACCAUUUAGGGCCCUAAAUCCUUCGUUAACUCAUUUUGGAUGUGUCUGUUCAUGAUGCUGUGUGGAACCUAUGUCACUGUUACAGUGUCCUCCAACCUGCCCUUUGCCCUUCCAUGUUUCUAGCUACUUGUGAACAAGUGGCAAAAUGAGGGUAAACUGUCCAGUCAGUUUUCUGAAAACUUUAAAUUACAUUUCUUGUUUUCAGUUUUUUUGCUACAGUACAUUUUUAUAGUUUUAAAUUGUGCAAACUAAAGAGAAAAAAAAAGAUUUUUGGCAUUUUUGAAGAGUAUAAACAUAAUUAAAAACGUGAUAUUUGUCGGAAAUAACUGUUGAAGUAUCCUGAUUUUUUUUUCUAUGUUAUCAGCACAAGGUGAAAGCUCUUUACUAGUGAUCUCUGUGUGACUAAGUUGUCUUAUGUACAUUGUUUAAUAUGAGCUUUCCAAGUUCUAGCUGCCAAGUCUUGAAAUUUUGAAAUCAAGUUAUUGCAGUAUUAACCCUUACCCUGCUAAAUUUCUAUUAUGAACUUGUUCAUCUUUCAAUUUGAACAGUAAGUAUUGUAAAUGGUUUAUUUCCUGAUGCUGUCAAAGAGGCUUGUGUUCUCCCAAUAUUCAGAAGUGGGGAUGAAGAAGACCCUUAUUCUACAGGCCAAUAUCUAUGUUGCCUAAAGUUUCUGUUUCUUCGUAAAGAAAACUUAACAUCAUUCACAAAACUCAGUCAGGAUUCAUGCCAUACAGCACUACCUACUGGUAGACUAUUAGAGGCAUGGCUUUCAGAUAUAGAUUCUGGUAAAUAUAUUGGAACUGUUUUUUGGUUUUAGAUCUAUGAAAAGCUUUUGAUCUAAAUGACUAUAACAUUUUAUUGCAUAAAUUGAAACCAUCAUUUUUCAGAUAAAAGUGUUGAAUUUUUCAAAACAUCCCUUUGAAACUGAACCCAAAUGAUAAAAGCGAGAAACUCCAAAUGUAAGCGCUUGUAACCUCUGGAGUUCCUCAAGGUUUAGUUCUUUACCCACUUUUAUUCUUACUUUAUAUCACUGAUAUCGCUUCAGAGAGUGGCAAUAUAGACCUCUAUGCUGAUGACUCUACUAAAAAUCAGGUUAUGAUUUAGAUAAGUGCAAACUAAACUCCAGCAGAAUUUAGAUCUUGAGCAACAAUGGUGCAAUUUAAACAAUAUAUGUCACUUCAUCCAAAGAAAACAAAAUGCAUGGUUUUGUUUACUAAACAAAAAGUAACGACUGUAAAGAACUAUUUUUAAUUAUUUCCAAGUAAGUAACAUAAAUUGUCAAGGUGCAAAAAUUAUGUUGUGUUUAUAUAGACAACACAUUGUUGUGUAAUGUUCAAACUGAAACAGUUUGCACUAAACUUGAUUCAAAAGUAGCAUUGUUGAGACAUAUAUUGUAAUAUAUGACAUACUGUAAAAUCAUUUAAUUUCGUGGGCAUGAAAUUUCGUGGUUUUGUCCAAAACAGCAAUUUUGUAGGGAUAUGAAUUCGUGGAUUUCAACUUUUGAACAUAAAAUGAAUGGGAAAUUUACUUGUUCGCUGGGAUUAAAUUUCGUGGAUUGACUCAACCAUGAAAUCCACGAAAAUUAGUCCCCCACUAACAUUAAUGAUUUCACAGUAUGAAAUGGAAAAAAUUACUUUAUAAUGCAUAUCUAAUGUCAAUAUUUGAAUAUUGCUAAAUUGUUGCAAGCUUUGUAAAUACGGAACAUUUUAUUCAAAGUAAUUUUUUGCAGCUAUACCUUAAAUUUUCUUUAUUUUCUUUAAAGAACUCUUAUUUUCUUGACACCAUACAGUACAUCUCUGAAAUUUAAUUGAUCAUGCACUUUGGUUUUGUAAAGACAAUGAAAAUAGGAGGGAGUGUCUGAUAUCUAUGCUUUACAAUAUUACAGGUCUAGUAGAAUUGAUUCAGUUUCAAAUUUUGUCAGUUAAUGAACAGUCAUCUACUGUUGUACUGCAAGCUAUUGAGACAAAUGAUGAAUCGGUAUCACUCAUGCACCCUUGCUAAGAUGUAUCUGUAGCAUGAUAGGCUGAUCUGUAUUUACCUUACAUAUGGUUACAUGCACACAUCGUGUCAAGCUUAUAUUUGUAUAUAUGUGAACUGUUACACAUGUUAACUUAGACUUAGUGACAACCGCUGUGUUGUGAAUGUCUGGUUCUGACAUUAAUUAUGAACAUGUUUAUUCAUUUUUUUUUCAUUGUUGUUCCAUAUUUUUAAAUUCAAAACUUACUUUUGAGAUCUUACAUGUGUCUAUUCCUUGUAAAACAUUUCAUCUUAUCAGAAGAAUGCAAACGAACGUUGGUAACCACUAACUCUGCUUUUAUGAUAAUUUGUUAAAGAAAAUCGUUCUUCAUCUGUUAUUCGUUCUGCUAUUUUGAUUUAUGUGUUCCCUUUUUCUAAGACCUGCAAUCAUGAGUUUUGCUUUUGUUUCAAGGUUUAACAGGUUUUGGAAAUAAGUUGCAUGAUUACUUUGGAACUUAUAUAAAUACUCUUUGGAAUAAUCCGGCAUAUCUUCAUUCCUGUAAAUCUUGUUUAUCUUGUACAUUCGCUCAAGAUUUGCUGAUAUGUAUGAGGAUUAAUAGAGUAAUACAUUUGUUGUUUUUGUUUUUAAUAUUAAGUAAUUUCAGUUGAUGCACUCAGGGUCACUUGUUAAGGUAAACUAAUUAAGGAUUAUUUUGUGGUUGCCCAUGUUUCUUUGUCACCUCACUUGAAAUCAGGCUAUAUGUCUCUCGAGUUAGGAAUCAAUAUUUUCGUUUUCUUGUGAGCGGUAUUAUGACACUUAUAUUUAAUUAAAAUGAAAUAAUUUUGUUUAAAUGUUCAUGAUAUUGAUAUUGCUUUUUCUGCCUUGAAUGUUUGUACUAUGUAAAUAAUUGUAAAUGUGUUAUGCUCUUCACAACUGGAGGAAUAAAAGUAUCUAUCUAAAAAGUAUCUAUCUAUACCCUUUUCCAGCAAUGAAACAUACAAUCUAAGAUCUGCUGCUCAUAAUGACAUCGUUGUACCUUAACAUCAUACAAAUCAUGGUAAAAAAAAAAAAUUUGUUAUUAUGGUGGAAUUCAGUACCAAAUGAAAUUUGCUCAGCAUGUUUUCUAACAUCUUUUAUAAAGAAAUAUAAAAAGUAUAUCUUGCAUUUGACUCGUAAAGAAUCUCUUUGUUUAUAUCAGCUGAAUAUCAACUAUGCCAUUAUGAUAUAAUUAAUAUGCAUGUAUAUAUUAUGUCACUAAUUGAUUGCCUAAAUGGAUACUUAAAGGUAAUAUCUAUUUUAAGGGGUAUUUAUCUAGGAAUGAAUGUGAUAUUAAUUAGCAUAUGUGGUAGUGUAAAUUUUAUUUGGUUGUUUUUGUUGUUGUUGUUCAGAAGGCCACAUUUAAAAGUAAGAAGUAUCAUUUGUACUUUCCACUAAUCUUUAUCUUCAUUUGCUACCUUCUAUAGAUAAAGAUGUUAUUAUUAUAUAGAGAUAGACCCUAA